UUUCGUUUCGUGGUUGGUGGUUGGUGGUGGUGUAGGUGUAGUUGUUGUUGAUCGAGAGCGAGCGAGCGAGCGUACGUAGGAGCGAGGCGAGGCGAGGCGAACGAGGCGAGUCGAGGCGGGGCAGGUGACAGACACAUGUUGUGCAUAGGGCGUAUAAUUUGGUUUUUCGUUGUUUUGUUGUCGGAUUGCAAGUGGCCCCGAGAUGUGGUUGUUCAUGGCGCGAAGAUGAGAGAUCGGAUUGAUCGUUUGAAUAUAUAUGGAAAUAAAAAGUAUACAAAAAUUAAAAAAUAAAAACAAAUUAU